rnacentral:tRNA from 1 species
GUGACCAUCGUUCAACGGCUAGGACUUUGCUUUGUGGAAGCAAUAAUGAGAGUUCGAUUCUCUCUGGUCACC